UGUUGUCUAUAACUCAUGACAGCCCUUAUUCCUAAAUGGAACCUAAAUUUACAAAUGGUGUUACAGGGUUCUACAGAUCUGUUAUAGACAUGAACAUUAAAUUGAAGCAAAACAACCAUUCGCUUAACAAAUACGGUAUAUGCAGAGACACACAAAACAUAUACGCGCCCACUCACCAGCUUUCUGUUUUACCUGUGGGCGUGAUUAACUUUCCCUGCUUGUUGCCCAGUGAAGAAGCUGCGUCAGAGGACUCUAGAAAGCAGUUUUUAUUUAGCGAGCCGUGCAAUGUAGCAAAGAGAGAAGGAUGCCGAAAACAAACUGAAAAGAACUUUUCUAAUCACUGAAUCCUUAAAGGAAUGGUCUAGCGAAUCCGAACCUAACUACUUGUUUAUUUAUUUUUUCAGCCUUAGUCUGAUACAGUAUCUACUACCAGUUCCUUUUCCACAUUAGAAGGGAUCUCACGUUGCUUAAGAUCUCCAUUUCGACUCUUUGUGUUUAAAGUCUGUCGCCAUCCUCAGGCACUUCUUUGUCGAUUUCCUACCGUCUAUGGUUGGAUUUUACAAGAACUCUCUGCUUGCUUUGCCCUUUUUUUUCAAAGGAGUAACUAUCCACUGUCAUUCGCAGAUCAUCCAUAGCCCCAGGUGUGAUGGGGUGUUGCACGAGGUUGCGGUAAAAACGGUUUCAUCCUAAAGCUGUACGAACACAGCUUUUUUUUUCAUGGCUGGAAAACAGGAGCACAGUUUUGCAUCUACUUUAGAAAUCUCUAAGGAAUCAGAUGCAUAGUUUUUUUUUUUACUUUUAUUGAUAUAUCCUCUGUGGAAUUAUUUCUUCUUUUAAAACAUCUAGGAUUCCAUUGUAUAAAUACCUAAAUAAUUCCUGCUCUCAUUCCAUCACGGACAUCCAAAUUCCCAGUGCUAAAGAGGAAUCUAUUGUAGAGCUAUGAGAAAUAUUUGCUUUUUUCUAUUAAAUAUGACAAUCCAAUAUUGAAAGGUUGCUGAUGGACGACACAUUUUCAAGAUGUCUUUUUUAGGGAUUACACGUGGAGGACGGCGAUCUGUCAGGGGGAGAGUUGGCUGGUGAAAUUGACUAUAUUUUUUCGUACAGGAAACUGGCUUCAAUGGCUCCAUCUCCCAGGCUAAGUAAUCGAAAGGAUGCCAACGCCUGGGCAAGCAUGUCCUCAACUUUCUGGGCAAUCAUGAUACUGACAAGCCUUCUGAUAGUCUACUGCAGUCAGCUGGCUGCUGGUACUUGUGAAAUUGUCACUUUGGACAGGGAUAGCAGUCAGCCUCGGAGGACUAUAGCCAGGCAAACAGCACGAUGUGCAUGUAAAAAAGGGCAAAUCGCAGGAACAACAAGAGCAAGACCUGCCUGUGUUGAUGCACGAAUUGUAAAGACAAAGCAAUGGUGUGAAAUGCUACCCUGUUUGGAAGGUGAAGGCUGUAAUUUGUUAGUAAAUAAAUCAGGCUGGACUUGUACGCAACCUGGAGGCCGAGUUAAAACAACAACAGCACUAUGACGUGAUGGAAUUCCCUUUCAAAACUUAAACAAACAUGGCGGAACGCUUUGCGAACCCGACUGACAGAGAAAAACAUCUACUUGUCAAGAGCAGACUUGAAAAAAACAACAAAACAGCAAACCAAUAUGGGCCUUAACAACAUUAAAAAGACUACAGUAUUAAAACUGUGAUUCAUCAGUCUGAGAAAUACCCAUAAAUACUAAUAAUCAAACAGUAUUUAGAAAAAAAGAUUUGGGAGAUACCAUAAGUUCACAGCAGGUCUCCUGACAAAUGUAGCAACAGAGAAUCCUCAGAGGAGCGGUUUAGACUCUGUGUGAGCUACUUACCUUAGUCAAGUUUCACUGCUGUGGAUCAUCUGUUGUAUCAUCAGCUCAACUGUCUCUCUACAUUGUAUAGGACAACAUAAUUCCUUAUACCAUGAGCUUAAGUCUGUUCAACACCACACUGGAGUACGGGAUUGAAGAAUGUAGAUAUCAGAGAUAUGACUGAGCAAUACUACAGUCCAUUGUGAAAUCUACACUGGAUUUAAUUCUGCUAUUGGAUUUUAUGUUGCCCAUAACCGAUGCAGAAGAAGCUGGUUUUCAAAGGAAUGAACCUGGGGUUCCCGCGGACUAAACAAAAGAGCAAGGGAGAGAUACUCUUAAGAACAGUAUCUGGACAGAACUUAUUUUGUCACUCUCACAGCAUUUUUGCCAACCAAAGAACAACAACAAUAAAACAACUGAAGUGGACAAGGUUAACAGGUGUGAAUAGCAAAGGUCCAUGGAAUGUUACAAAAUUAGCUUUCACACCACAAACUCAAGUCCCUAAUGUUUUGUGGAGCAACUGUUCUGAAUUGACCAGCUCUAAUGGAGCACAGCAACAAGAUGGCAGUUAAUGCCUUGUGACAUUAAAUAUGUGGUUUAAAAGGAGCACCUUUAAAUCUUUGCUGACUUUUAUUCUUGGACUUAACACAUUGCUGUUUCAAAAUUAUAGAACAACUACACAUGCGCACACAUGUGUAUAUAUGUGUGUAUAAAUACACAUAUAUAUAUAAUUAUUGUGUGUACUUUCCAAUUGCAUUUUUUCAAUCUCUGCAUAUGGACAAUUUGCAAUAAGCAUGGAUGGUGACAGUAAUAGAACAAAUCAUUUAUUAUUGAAGGAAAACAUAGUAAAGAGUAACAGUUUGGGAAAAUUCAUUAAAUGUAUUUUGAAAAGCCUAAAGCUAUAUAUUUAACAGUUUUAUAUGUUGUAUCUUUGUAGAAAACCUUAUUUAACACAAAUAAUGUGGUCACUAUGCCAGUCAUAUAAAGUGGAUUCAAGAAAAGCUAUCAUUUUGCUUUUUUUUCCAUUUGAUUGUUGAAUUAUAUUUUUUUACCCAUUGGAAUAUUUUGAAUUUAAAACAUGUCCAGUAAGAACACUGUAGAAAUGAAAAUCAACAAUAAUAGUCUUUAUACCCCAUUGAUAUUAAUAUAUUGAACUACUGUACUGUUUAAAGGCUUAUUUGUCCUAUUGUACUGUAUAAUAGCGUGGGGGACGUUACUCAUUGUUUCUUUUGACUUUUUGUUGUGUUGCACAGCACAGACCUCAGAGUGAUGAUACUUGACUGGAUAAAUGAAAAAAAUAGAAAAUUUACAUAAAGCUACUUUUUUAUUCUGAAAAUAUUUUAAGAAAGAAAUAAAUACAUGAAAAAAAUAUUAUUUUCUAAACUGAGAUCUUCAGUCUCAAGAAAGAAAAAAGGAACAUAAACAGUUGAAAAAUAAUCACAGUGGAUUUCGUAAGGUUAUUAUUUUAUGUUAAUACUUUCUGUGGCUUUCUUUAUUAUUUGUAUUCCACAAUAUACACUAUAAUGAAAUAAAAUAUCCAAUGAGUAGAAUCACUAUCACAACCAAGGUAAUUUAUUUUUUAGGGUAAUUUUAGGGCAUAUUUUUUCAAAUCAAUUAUGGCAUUUCCAAAUUGUAUAACACUGCAACUUUUGUAUUAAAUCUAAAAAGUAUUUUAGAUUUAAAAUGAAUAGGCAAGAACAUAUCUACUUAAACAAUAUUUUAACUGAAAUUAAUUAAAUGACAUAAUAAAUUAAGGAUUUGAGAUUCUAUGAAAGGGAUACAUUUAUAGCGUUAGUUGAAGUGCUAAUGACAAAAUGAAUUACUUUUCACUGGAAAGAAAACCUUGGAGAGCACUCAUAAAAUACAUUUACUGUAGGUUUAUACUGUUUCAUUAUAGUAAUACUUAUAGUGAUUGGGUUUACAUGCUUCAUAGACACAUUUCAUUGGUCUUCUCAAAUUCUAAUUUGGAGUUCUAUAACAUUGCAAACAAUAAAAGCUUUUAACUAAAGUGGUUUAUUAAAAUGUCACAGGACUCCAACAUAGUGUUCUCACAACUAAUACAUCUAUUAUUUUUAAUCAAUACAUGUAAAUCACUGCUUUUACUUAGAAUGUUAUAGAUAUUCUUUGGUUUGGACACAUUUCACCCUAUUUUUUUUACUUAAAGCAAACAAUGUGAUGAAAUUAGGAACUGGGUUUAGCUGAACAGAGUAGAACCUGACCUAUCUCUUUGUUUUAGAACCAGAUCCAGUUGCUCCCUAUACCCCCUACUGCCAGCUUCUCAUAGUAAAAUUACUCAUUUCAGCCCAAACCCCCUUAGCAGGAAUGGUGCACUUUCUAAGACAGCACAUGCUUUUCAGAUGACCAGAAUUAACUUCCUACACAUUAUGUUGUUACCACUGUUACCACCGUUAAGUGUCCCACUCAACUAUAUUUUCAACUUUUGCACACAUCAUUCCCAUUGUCAACUGGUGUAUUUCUAAAUUCACAAAAAAAAAGAAGAUGAAUCAAAAGAAAUGAGUCUACAAAAAAAGUAAUUACCUAUGGCUGACACUACAAAGUGUCCAUAACAGAAUUGCACUACACACAUAAGGAUGUUUUAAGUAGCUGGUUCUGAUCACUCAUAGGGUGAUCUUUAUGAUGAAAAUCUGGUCAGUUUCUCUGAGGUAAGAAUUUACCAGGGCUAAAUUCAAUUUUGUUUUCAUUGAAGUAUUUACUUUUUUUUCUUAAUAAACAUUUUGGUGUUGACUGGUGGUUGAAAAUGAUAUUUUCUCUAUGUGAAAAGUUGUUUGUGGAAACGGUAAGAGUGUAAAAGUUAGUACUUCUUUAUGUGGAGACCAAAGAUCGAUUUAGUCAUGCAGUGAACAAGAAAUGUCUAACUUAAAUUGAUUAUGUUUUUGUUAUGAGUCAGGAUACAGUUACAGCUUUCAUAUACUGUAUACAGGUAGAGACUUGCACACUGACAUACAUUUAUAUGUAUCUAAGAACCUAUAAUGGAAUAUCUUUGAAGCACAGUAUUAAAUGGAUAAUUUAA